AUUGAACGCUGGCGGCAGGCUUAACACAUGCAAGUCGAGCGGGGGAAGGUAGCUUGCUACCGGACCUAGCGGCGGACGGGUGAGUAAUGCUUAGGAAUCUGCCUAUUAGUGGGGGACAACAUCUCGAAAGGGGUGCUAAUACCGCAUACGUCCUACGGGAGAAAGCAGGGGAUCUUCGGACCUUGCGCUAAUAGAUGAGCCUAAGUCGGAUUAGCUAGUUGGUGGGGUAAAGGCCUACCAAGGCGACGAUCUGUAGCGGGUCUGAGAGGAUGAUCGGCCACACGGGGACUGAGACACGGCCCAGACUCCUACGGGAGGCAGCAGUGGGGAAUAUGGGACAAUGGGGGGAACCCUGAUCCAGCCAUGCCGCGUGUGUGAAGAAGGCUUUAUGGUUGUAAAGCACUUUAAGCGAGGAGGAGGCUACUUUAGUUAAUACCUAGAGAUAGUGGACGUUACUCGCAGAAUAAGCACCGGCUAACUCUGUGCCAGCCGCCGCGGUAA
rnacentral:rRNA from 1 species